rnacentral:ncRNA from 1 species
AUGGCUCCAGUGGUCGGAACGGUAGGCCAAGUUGGUGAUGCUUGUCCGCCGCUAUUUUGUCUGAUCGAUGCUUUUCGGGAUGAUGGCGGCCUAGUGAUAGUGCUUGCUUGUUGACGCUUUCGGUGUGUGCUUGACCUCGGUCUUAGUAUCCUGAUCGUUCAUCUAAACGACUAAACUGGAACCGGUACGGACUCAGGGAAUCCGACUGUCUAAUUAAAACAGAGGUGACAGAUGGUCCUUGCGGACGCUGACUGUCACUGAUUUCUGCCCAGUGCUCUGAAUGUUAAAUCGUAGUAAUUGGAGUAAGCGCGGGUAAACGGCGGGAGUAACUAUGACUCUCUUAAGGUAGCCAAACACAAUAGGAUUGUUCAUUUUGCUCAAAAAUUAAUAUUUAGUGAGAA